rnacentral:tRNA from 2 species
GCUCCGGUGGCACAAUCGGUUAGCGCGCCGUACUUAUAAUGCGGAGGUUGUGAGUUCGAUCCUCACCCGGAGCA